GCUGGCUUUAAGCAGUCAGGUUGAAAUAAAGCGUGACUGACAUUUCAUAACUUCUGCUAUAGUAGAAUCUCCCCUGUUUUUCAUGCUUGCCUGUACCCUGUGCUUCUGCAGCACAAGCAGUGCUUCCCACAGGAAGCAGUGAUGCUCUCCUGGUAGGACCAUGCCCUACUGAUGUCCCUGGUGUCGGGAGCACAGAGGCUGUGCUAAGCACCCAGCACUUCGAUCUUUGUUCCGUGUUUCUUGUCUGCAUCGCAGCAGUCAGGGCUAUAAAAACAAGAUAGAGCAGGUCAGCGUACGAAAAUAGGAAGCAGGAAUGCUUUUAUCUCACUCUAGCAAUUGGCAGAGCCACCAGUACGGCCACGUUUUGGGCCGCUCCAGAAGCUGCCUGUGCUGUUGCACUGCCAUGUGUUUGCCCGUCCUGGGGAGGAGCGGGAAGGGCUGUGUAUGCACACCGCCCUGAUGAUCUUCUCAUCCUUCUGCGAUGAGCACCUCAGGAUCACCAAGCUCUGUUCCAUCUGCUUAUCGAUCCGCGUUCACCAGAUCAGCCUUUGAAACCAGCCCUUGCAGUGUCCCUGGGAGGAGGCGGCGCCGAAAGAACUCGUGUUAGGUGAUGAUGUUGCACAGCUCCUGCCUGUGAGGCGCUGAUAGCGCCUGCUGCGCUGCCAUGGGGUGCGUAACACCGGGCUGUGCUGCGGGCAGUUCCUUAUCGCUUCUGUGGUGGUGUUCCCCCUGCCCUUGCGAUGGCGGAAGUGGAUAACCGAAGCCCUGUUCUGCGCUAUUAAUCCCCUUCAUGCUUACUAAUAAGCUGCUGGAUAGAGUCUUUGAAGGGGGUACCCAGCCUGAGCCAGACAGAGAGGACAGGGCGCUCGCUGUGGGAGCAGCAGGGGUGAGUUGUGUGUUCAGGAGCAUUUAACCCACCUAGCCACCUCGCUGACACACUGCACAAAUGUUUUGCAAGCUGAGGAGUUGGAUUUCUCUGUGAUUUGAAUUCAGUGCAACUCUCAUGGUACGCAAACAGUGCUCAGGAUGUGAGGCUGAGCUGGUUUAUCAUUGAUGGGAAAAAGCCUUUUCCACAGGCAGAAACCCUGUCACUGACCUGUGGUGCAAAGCAGGCACAUAUUAACUCUUGCUUUUUUUUAGAUGAUGUUAAUUUCUCUUUUACUGGAAAGUGCUUUUGGGUGUAAUA
ensembl:lncRNA